rnacentral:rRNA from 1 species
GAUGAACGCUAGCGGCAGGCCUAAUACAUGCAAGUCGAACGGUGUCUUCGGACAUAGUGGCGCACGGGUGCGUAACACGUAUGCAACCUACCUUACAUUGGGGGAUAGCCUUUCGAAAGGGAGAUUAAUACCGCAUAAGACAGUAGCUGGGCAUCCAGCAGCUGUUAAAGAUUUAUCGAUGUAAGCUGGGCAUGCGUCCAAUUAGCUAGUUGGUGAGGUAACGGCUCACCAAGGCAAUGAUUGGUAGGGGAACUGAGAGGUCAAUCCCCCACACUGGCACUGAGAUACGGGCCAGACGCCUACGGGAGGCAGCAGUAGGGAAUAUUGGGCAAUGGACGCAAGUCUGACCCAGCCAUGCCGCGUGCAGGAUGAAGGCGUUAUGCGUUGUAAACUGCUUUUAUACAGGAAGAAACGACUCUUGCGAGAAGCAUUGACGGUACUGUAUGAAUAAGCACCGGCUAACUCCGUGCCAGCCGCCGCAGUAA